GACGAACGCUGGCGGCGUGCCUAAUACAUGCAAGUCGAGUGAGCGAAACUAACAGAUUUACUUCGGUAAUGACGUUAGGAAAGCGAGCGGCGGAUGGGUGAGUAACACGUGGGGAACCUGCCCCAUAGUCUGGGAUACCACUUGGAAACAGGUGCUAAUACCGGAUAAGAAAGCAGAUCGCAUGAUCAGCUUUUAAAAGGCGGCGUAAGCUGUCGCUAUGGGAUGGCCCCGCGGUGCAUUAGCUAGUUGGUAAGGUAAAGGCUUACCAAGGCGAUGAUGCAUAGCCGAGUUGAGAGACUGAUCGGCCACAUUGGGACUGAGACACGGCCCAAACUCCUACGGGAGGCAGCAGUAGGGAAUCUUCCACAAUGGACGCAAGUCUGAUGGAGCAACGCCGCGUGAGUGAAGAAGGUUUUCGGAUCGUAAAGCUCUGUUGUUGGUGAAGAAGGAUAGAGGUAGUAACUGGCCUUUAUUUGACGGUAAUCAACCAGAAAGUCACGGCUAACUACGUGCCAGCAGCCGCGGUAAUACGUAGGUGGCAAGCGUUGUCCGGAUUUAUUGGGCGUAAAGCGAGCGCAGGCGGAAGAAUAAGUCCGAUGUGAAAGCCCUCGGCUUAACCGAGGAACUGCAUCGGAAACUGUUUUUCUUGAGUGCAGAAGAGGAGAGUGGAACUCCAUGUGUAGCGGUGGAAUGCGUAGAUAUAUGGAAGAACACCAGUGGCGAAGGCGGCUCUCUGGUCUGCAACUGACGCUGAGGCUCGAAAGCAUGGGUAGCGAACAGGAUUUGAUACCCUGGUAGUCCAUGCCGUAAACGAUGAGUGCCAAGUGUUGGGAGGUUUCCGCCUCUCAGUGCUGCAGCUAACGCAUUAAGCACUCCGCCUGGGGAGUACGACCGCAAGGUUGAAACUCAAAGGAAUUGACGGGGGCCCGCACAAGCGGUGGAGCAUGUGGUUUAAUUCGAAGCAACGCGAAGAACCUUACCAGGUCUUGACAUCUAGUGCCAUUUGUAGAGAUACAAAGUUCCCUUCGGGGACGCUAAGACAGGUGGUGCAUGGCUGUCGUCAGCUCGUGUCGUGAGAUGUUGGGUUAAGUCCCGCAACGAGCGCAACCCUUGUUAUUAGUUGCCAGCAUUAAGUUGGGCACUCUAAUGAGACUGCCGGUGACAAACCGGAGGAAGGUGGGGAUGACGUCAAGUCAUCACGCCCCUUAUGACCUGGGCUACACACGUGCUACAAUGGGCAGUACAACGAGAAGCGAGCCUGCGAAGGCAAGCGAAUCUCUGAAAGCUGUUCUCAGUUCGGACUGCAGUCUGCAACUCGACUGCACGAAGCUGGAAUCGCUAGUAAUCGCGGAUCAGCACGCCGCGGUGAAUACGUUCCCGGGCCU
rnacentral:rRNA from 1 species